rnacentral:rRNA from 1 species
UAAAGCGAAUAAGGGCGUAUGGUGGAUGCCUUGGCAUUGAGAGGCGAUGAAGGACGUGGUAAGCUGCGAUAAGCUUCGGGGAGCUGCAUACAAGCGAUAUAUCCGGAGAUUUCCGAAUGGGACAACCUGUUACACUGAAGGUGUAUCACCCGAAAGGGAGCCAACCCAGAGAACUGAAACAUCUAAGUACCUGGAGGAAAAGAAAAUAACUAAUGAUUCCCUAAGUAGUGGCGAGCGAACAGGGAAGAGCCCAAACCUGGGGGGCGUGCCCCCCAGGGGUUGUAGGACCACAUUUAGAAAGCAACAUCAAACUGAACCUUUUGGAAAGGAGGGCCAUAGCGGGUGACAGCCCCGUAGGUAGAAAUUGUUGUGGACGCGUGGUAUCCUGAGUAGCGCGGGACCGGAGAAAUCCUGCGUGAAUCUGCCAGCACCAUCUGGUAAGGCUAAAUACUCCUCAAUGACCGAUAGUGAACCAGUACCGUAAGGGAAAGGUGAAAA